AACGAACGCUGGCGGCAGGCCUAAAACAUGCAAGUCGAACGAUGUAGCAAUACAUAGUGGCGCACGGGUGCGUAACGCGUGGGAAUAUGCCCUUCACUACGGAACAACGUCGGGAAACUGACGCUAAUACCGUAUAAUGACUCCGGUCCAAAGAUUUAUCGGUGAAGGAUUAGCCCGCGUCUGAUUAGGUAGUUGGUGAGGUAACGGCUCACCAAGCCGACGAUCAGUAGCUGGUCUGAGAGGAUGAUCAGCCACACUGGAACUGAGACACGGUCCAGACUCCGACGGGAGGCAGCAGUUAGGAAUAUUGGACAAUGGGGGAAACCCUGAUCCAGCCAUGCCGCGUGAGUGAAGAAGGCCUUAGGGUUGUAAAGCUCUUUCGUCUGUGAGGAUAAUGACAGUAGCAGAAGAAGAAGCCCCGGCUAAAUUCGUGCCAGCCGCCGCGGUAA
rnacentral:rRNA from 1 species